UACGUAGGGUGCAAGCGUUAAUCGGAAUUACUGGGCGUAAAGCGUGCGCAGGCGGUCUUGCAAGACAGAUGUGAAAUCCCCGGGCUCAACCUGGGAACUGCAUUUGUGACUGCAAGGCUAGAGUACGGUAGAGGGGGAUGGAAUUCCGCGUGUAGCAGUGAAAUGCGUAGAUAUGCGGAGGAACACCGAUGGCGAAGGCAAUCCCCUGGACCUGUACUGACGCUCAUGCACGAAAGCGUGGGGAGCAAACAGG
rnacentral:rRNA from 1 species